rnacentral:rRNA from 1 species
GGCUCAGGACGAACGCUGGCGGCGUGCUUAACACAUGCAAGUCGAACGAUGAAGCCCUUCGGGGUGGAUUAGUGGCGAACGGGUGAGUAACACGUGGGCAAUCUGCCCUUCACUCUGGGACAAGCCCUGGAAACGGGGUCUAAUACCGGAUAACACUCUGUCCCGCAUGGGACGGGGUUAAAAGCUCCGGCGGUGAAGGAUGAGCCCGCGGCCUAUCAGCUUGUUGGUGGGGUAAUGGCCUACCAAGGCGACGACGGGUAGCCGGCCUGAGAGGGCGACCGGCCACACUGGGACUGAGACACGGCCCAGACUCCUACGGGAGGCAGCAGUGGGGAAUAUUGCACAAUGGGCGAAAGCCUGAUGCAGCGACGCCGCGUGAGGGAUGACGGCCUUCGGGUUGUAAACCUCUUUCAGCAGGGAAG